rnacentral:rRNA from 1 species
AGUCAAGUAAUUAAGUGCAUGUGGUGGAUGCCUUGGCAGUCAGAGGCGAUGAAAGACGUGAUAGCCUGCGAAAAGCUCCGGGGAGGCGGCAAAUAUCCUUUGAUCCGGAGAUGUCUGAAUGGGGGAACCCACCUACUUUAAGGUAGGUAUUGCAACAUGAAUACAUAGUGUUGCAAGGCGAACGAGGGGAAGUGAAACAUCUCAGUACCCUUAGGAAAAGAAAUCAAUUGAGAUUCCCUCAGUAGCGGCGAGCGAACGGGGAUCAGCCCAUUAAGUUAUGUGUGUUUUAGUGGAACGCUCUGGGAAGUGCGAACGUAGAGGGUGAUAUUCCCGUACACGAAAGGGCACACAUAAUGAUGACGAGUAGGGCGAGGCACGUGAAACCUUGUCUGAAUAUGGGGGGACCAUCCUCCAAGGCUAAAUACUCCUGACUGACCGAUAGUGAACCAGUACCGUGAGGGAAAGGCGAAAAGAACCCCUGUGAGGGGAGUGAAAUAGAUCCUGAAACCGCAUGCAUACAAGCAGUGGGAGCACCUUCGUGGUGUGACUGCGUACCUUUUGUAUAAUGGGUCAGCGACUUAUAUUCAGUAGCAAGGUUAACCGUAUAGGGGAGCCGUAGAGAAAUCGAGUCUUAAUAGGGCGUUUAGUUGCUGGGUAUAGACCCGAAACCAGGCGAUCUAUCCAUGAGCAGGUUGAAGGUUGGGUAACACUAACUGGAGGACCGAACCCACUGUCGUUGAAAAGCCAGGGGAUGACUUGUGGAUAGGGGUGAAAGGCUAAUCAAGCCUGGUGAUAGCUGGUUCUCCCCGAAAGCUAUUUAGGUAGCGCCUCGGACGAAUACCAUAGGGGGUAGAGCACUGUUUCGGCUAGGGGGUCAUCCCGACUUACCAAACCGAUGCAAACUCCGAAUACCUAUGAGUACUAUCCGGGAGACAGACUGCGGGUGCUAACGUCCGUAGUCAAGAGGAAAACAAUCCAGACCGCCAGCUAAGGCCCCAAAAUCAUAGUUAAGUGGGAAACGAUGUGGGAAGGCAUAGACAGCUAGGAGGUUGGCUUAGAAGCAGCCACCCUUUAAAGAAAGCGUAAUAGCUCACUAGUCGAGUCGGCCUGCGCGGAAGAUGUAACGGGGCUAAAACUAUGUGCCGAAGCUGCGGAUUUGACAUUAGUCAAGUGGUAGGGGAGCGUUCUGUAAGCCGAUGAAGGUGUAUUGAGAAGUAUGCUGGAGGUAUCAGAAGUGCGAAUGCUGACGUGAGUAACGACAAAACGGGUGAAAAACCCGUUCGCCGAAAGACCAAGGGUUCCAGUCCAACGUUAAUCGGGGCUGGGUGAGUCGACCCCUAAGG